rnacentral:lncRNA from 1 species
AUGGAAGAGCGAGAGUCAGGCUGCCCUUGCUCUCCAGCUGCCUCCGUAAGCCCCUCCAUUUCCUCCCGGCCCGAUAUAGCCGCUCUCCCGAGGCGACAAAUUGAUUUAUACUCCCCCCCCCCCACGGCACCACGGUGGGGCCGUCCCCAGCCCCCUCCCCAUCCAUUCCCCACGGUCACAUCCAGGGACCGGCACGGGGCAGGGGGCUGCAACCUCCCCCCCGAGCACGGCACGGCCACCUCGGCGUGCCGGCACCGGAGCCACCGCCAGCGCCGCCCGACAGUCGGCCACGUCCACACCGUCACCCUCCGCCUCCCCGCGGUGCCCGGGUCCAGCCUGCCCCUGGGGACACCCCGACCCCGCUGGCGCCCGGGCUUGCGCCGGAGAGGGCAGCGUGGCCCGAGCCACAGCGCGCCACCAGAGCGCCCCCGUGUCCCUCUGCCCGCUCCCGUGCCACCCAUCCCACCGAGGGGCGGGGGUCCUGCAUGGGGUGAGGGGGGUGGGGGGCUGCGAGCGGGGGUCCCGUGGCUGGGGGGGGCUUCCACGGGGUCCUGCUGCCCCCUCAGCCCUGCUGUGACCGUGUGCGCUCACCCUUCACCGUGCCCUAUACCCACGGCGCGCUUUGCCCACGCUGCACCGUGCCCCACAGGGGUCACACUGCGUCCCCUGCCCCUCGCCGUGCCCCACAGAGGUCCCACUGUGGCCCCCCCCCGCUGUGCCCCACAUGGUCCCACUGCCUGCUCGUCCCCUUGCUGUGCCCCACACGGGUCCCACUGUGCCCCCAGCCCCAUGCCAUGCCCCACAUGGGUUGCACUGUGCCCACUCCUCACCGCACCCCACAUGGGUCCCGCUGCGCCCCCACCCCUUUGCUGUGCCCUGUAUGUGUCCCACUGUGACCCUGUCCCCUUGCUGCGCCCCACAGGAGUCCCACUGUGCCCACCCCUCACUGUGCCCCACAGCAGUCCCACUGCACCCCCAUCUCCUUGCUGUGCCCCACACGGGUCCCACUGCCCCCCUGGCUCUUUGCUGUGCCCCACAGAGGUCCCACUGUGCCCACCCCUCACUGUGCCCCACAAGGGUGACACUGUGACCCCAGCCCCUUUGUUGUGCCCCACAGAGGUCCCACCGUGUCCAUGUCCCCUUGCUAUGCCCCACAGAGGUCCCAGUGCCCCUGUCCCCUUGUCGUACCCCACAAGGGUCCCGCUGCUCCCCUGGUCCCUCGCUGUGCCCCACAGAGGUCACACUGUGUCCCUGCCACCUUGCUGUGCCCAUCACAGUUCCCACCGUGCCCACACAUUGCUGUGCCCCCCACAGGUCCCACCGUGCCCACCCCUUGCCGUGCCCCCCCCACGGGUCCCGCUGCGCCCCCAUCCCCUCGCUGCGCCCCACACACAUCCCACCGUGCCCACCCCU